ACUAAUAUAAAAUAAUAUUUACCUUGUAUAAUUAAAAGUUAUGUUCUUGAAAAUAAAAAAAUUUGGCGGUAGUUUAAUCUUAUCAGAGGAAUCUGUUUUUUAAUCGACACAACGCGUUAAAUUUUACUUAUUUUUAAAAGGUUUGUAUACCGUCAUUUAAAUUGAUUUGGGAGAAAUCAAUUAAAAUUAAAAUUUUAAAUAAAUUAGAUCAAGGUGCAGCAUAUAAAUAAGAUAAAAUGGAUUACAAUAAUUUUAAAUUAUUUGAAUAAUUUUAUGAAUAUAAGGUUUGAAGGUGGAUUUGAUAGUAUAAUUAUUAUAAUAUAAUAAAAUAGAAGUUUUAGCUCUAAAUUAUGU
rnacentral:rRNA from 1 species